ensembl:lncRNA
AUGCGCUCACACCAGGUCCGCUGCCCAUCCUGAGCCGGGAAUGCGCCGGACAGUGCCGGCUGUAAGAGCACGGUGAGGUUUUUUUUAGCUCUCCGCAGUCUCUUGCAGGGAACCCCGUGGGUUUGGCAGCGCCCGGCGGUGCGCUCCCACCCGGCACUGCCGGAACGGCUGCGGCGGUGCGGGGUGAGCCGAGCGCGUGUCCUGCCCGGAGCAUCCCUCGUCCCUCUCCGCGUGCAGAGUUCAGCCCAGCCCGGACAGCCCGCUGCACCCAGCAGCCUUUAUUCCACCGAGGGAAAAAAAAAAAAGAAAGAAAUCAUCCAGGUGAUCUCAGAGCCGGGCACUCCCGUUGUCAGUGUGUAGCAAAUGUACGAGGAAAAAAAAGAAAAAGAGAGAGGAAAAAAGAAUCCCGGAGGUCCGGGCGCAGCUCCGGCCCCGACGGGGCGGGGGUUGGUCCGGCAGGACGCACUCUGGGGGCAGACCCAGAGGGUUCUGUCCGCUUUAUUUUUCGGUCAAGAAUUUGGGGUGUCCCUCUAAGACGGCUCUGGCCGGGCUCGGCUCCCAGCAGCACGGCGCCAGCAGGUGCCCACGGGCUCUCUGUCAGAUUCUUCUCUCUCGGGAGACGACGGCUGCAGCCGCUUCGAGGAGAGAAGGAUUCGGCCGUGGGCUCCCAGGGUCGCGGGGCCGCACACACUCCGCACCCCGCACCUCCUCAGUCCCCCUCUUCUUGGCCGCGAGUCGCCUCCAAAAACAGAGCCUCCAUCCGAUCCUCUUUUGAUCGCGGGAUGUCUGCGCGUAAAUAUAACCUCGCAAACAGAGUUUUCCUUCCCUGAACCUUUCCUGUGUGUUCAUUUAAAAAGUUAUUACAUCAGGAAAAAAAAAAAAUCGUUUUCUGUCCUUAAGGGCAAAGCAGUUAAGUGUUCUGAGCGGGGAGACAUGUGAUCUCCCCCAGCUACCCCUUGUCUCUUGCCAAACAGAGGAUAAAUAUCUGAUCGCAGGUGAAAUACCUGCGCAGGGAGAGGGAGAGAACAACCCUCGGCGAGCGAGAAAGGAGACGCCGAUAUUACGCAAUAAUCACGGUUCAUUGUACACUCACUGUCUUAACGAGUGGAUGACACCAGUGCGAUAAAUAGAAACCAUUGUCGGGUGACACAGAGGACAAUUAUAACGCGUGAUUGCACUCACUGCCUAUUUCCAGAACCGAAUAUAGCGCAACUUUGCUUCACCGCAUCCACCUUCCCCGUGCAGCAGGAGCCGGUCUCGGAGCACCGGGCAGAGCCCUCCCCGGCCCUGGGAUGUGUUAUCUCCCCCCCACCCCCCCACUCCCCCUGUCAGGGAUGGCCAAAGGAUGCUCAGGGGAAACACCGCCGGCAGUGCACUCCGGAGAGGACAGCUGGACUCCGCUAUCAGCCUAAAGAGCUUCACAAACAGUCCAAAAGACUCAAGAGAAGGAUAUAGAUAGAGGGGUCCGUUACUGAAUCCGAUCCCUCAGAAGCUCUGACGUUUAGCUUGUUUCAACCUUUUCUAGCAUCUGGAAUAGUAUUAUAAAAUCUGUCACCGCAACACCUCCCUCCUGGCCGCAGGUAUCAUGUGGAGUAAAGCGCUGAGACAAAAAACUCGCCGUAUCGGCCACUUAUUACCUCGGCGUACGCCUCGUUUCGGGGUAAUACUCAGGCUUAAUGCGUGCUCUGAUUCCAUUGACCUGUAUUGAUUUCUAGUCAAAUCAGAAGCCCUUUCUUCCCUUCCUAAAAG